rnacentral:lncRNA from 1 species
GCGUGGACCCGAAAGCUUGGCGAGUAAACAAUUGGGAAAUAGUAAAAUCUGCCAGGUUCUCUGGCAUGAGAACGAACUCCCGGGCAAAUGAAUGUGAGGGUCACGUCCUACGAGCUCAUCUCCUCACUUACUUCCUCGACCCCUCAGCAUCCUCUGAGACCACCUCCACCGGGCAGCUUGGGCAUGGAUGUACCUUGACCGCAGGGCCAGUCAACUAAAAUGAGGCGAGGGCACGUCAUUCAGUUAGAUAAUCCCAGCAAGACAUUGGAGGCUGAGGCAAGAAGAUUGAUGCUAGUAAAGUUGCCAGAAAUUCAAGGACAAGGUUUCUAGGUUCAGCAGUCCUGACUGUCCUGGAACUCACUUUGUAGACCAAGCUGGUCUUGAACUCAAAAAGAUGUACCUGCCUCUGCUUCCCAAGUGCCCGAAUUAAAGAAGUGCUCCACCACCGUCCAGCUUAGAAUGAUUAUUUUCUUUCUGGACUUUUGUAAGGAUAGGAAAGAUGGCAGAGGAUAUUGGGAGAAAGCCCAGCAUUGCAAGUAAGAAUCAUUAUGAAAAGCUUUCUCGUGUGCUCGUUCCUAAGACAUAACCGGAUAUCUAGUUAAUAUUGAAUGUGUAACAUAACUGGCAAUUUAUUGUUGGCAAUAAAGUGCUUC